rnacentral:rRNA from 1 species
CCCGGGCCUUGUACACACCGCCCGUCACAUCACGAAAGCCGGUUGUACUAGAAGUCGCCACACUAACCCGCAAGGGGGGGAGGCGCCUAAGGUAUGGUCGGUGAUUGGGGUG